CAUUCUCAUUUCUUAUUAAUUACCAGUGCUUGGUAUGAAUAACAUUAUUAACAUUUGAAUUUUUAAUUUAUUAUUAUAAUUGUAAAGUCAUCAUCGAACAAUCUUAGACAUAAUUCGGCACUCAUUACUUAUUUUGUCAAUAAAGAACAAUGACUGGGGGAUUGUACCGUAAAAUUAUAAUGAUUCUAUUAUACUUCCCUUCUAAAAAGACUACUUAAAAUUAUUGAUUAAAUUCCAUGAACUUUUACCUAUAUUCAUAUUACUAACCACAAAAUUUAAAUUAAAAGAAAAUAAAGAACAUAUCGCAAUCAUGCAAUUAAAAGUGUACACCAAAUUAUCACAGCAAAUAAGAAGACAGCCUACCAUCCAUUAUUUGCUCCAUCAAUAGUAAUGCCAGUUAUAUUUUUUAUUGUGAUUUUUUUUCUUGUAUUUUCAUAUUAAAUACUAAACACAAAAAUACGUUACUCCUUCCUAAUUGAGAAGCUCAAACCACCCAAAAAAAGGGGCAACGACUUAUACGUGUCAUCAAGACAUAUACAUGCAAUCUUGAUGCACACAUUCAUAAAAAUAAAAAGGUAGUUUUGUGAUGAUAGUAUACCAGUCACUUGCUCUGGGACUUCUAGUUCCAAUCGAUACAAACCACCCAAAAAAGGAAAAAACAACAAAUUAUAUGUGUCAUCGUGAAAUAUACAUUUUGAUGGGACAAAUUCAUUUUAAUUGAAGAUGACAUUUCUACUGAUGGUAACCCUAUAACCUUUUUGACAUUUAACUCAAAGUCUAUACCCUUUAGUUUCCUUCCCAUACCCCAAGAAGACACACUUCAAGGCUCUUGGUUCAAGUUUACCUUCAUUUUGAUGGGAGUAUGCAGUACAGCCAAAAACUGACCAUGUGAGAUCAUUCAAUCAAGUUUUAACAGGGCAAAAAAAUGGCAUUUUUUUCGGGUCUCUUUAAGUGAUGGCCGAGACCCAAAGAUCUCCUAUUUUACUUUGGCUGCAGGAGGGGAAUGGUUAAGUGACACUCUCGAUGUCUUGUUUGGUAAACGGGAUGUUUAUCCAGGCAGGUAUUCCCACAAAACAAAAGCGCGAGACCUCUGGUCCUUUACUUUAGUCAACAAGGCUGCUUUUAGGGAAUAUUGUCAUUGUGAUAUCAAGUUGUAAUUGAGCCAUGACUUCUUAGAUAAGUCCAUUAUAAUCAGGAAUAGAGUUUGACCACAAAUUUUUUGAGACUUCAAAAUCAAUGACAAUUGAGGGACUUCUAUUUAUAAGAUAUGUUGUUAUUUUAGGACCUCACCCCAAAAAAACUUUGGAAGUCCAGAACUAUGUAACAUACACCUGACUUUCUCUAAUAAGGUUCUAUUCAUCCUUUCAGCAACUCCAUUCUGCUGAGGGGUGUAUGUUACAGUUCUAUGCCUUAAAAUUCAAGAUUCCUUAUAAAACGAAUCAAAUUCCAAAUUAUAGAAUUCAAGGCCAUUAUCAAUCCUUAGUGCUUUGAUUUUCUUAUUGGUUUGAUUUUCAAUCAUUCAUUUCUGUUGUCUGAAAUUUUGAAAAGUAUCGAACUUGUGCUUUAAGAGAAAAGAUAAUAUUUUUCUUGAAAAAUCAUCUACAAUGAGCAGGUAAAAUCUGAAUCCACUCAGAGUAUUUACAGAUACAGGACCCCAAAGGUCAGCAUGUAAAUAUUCUGAAAUAACAGUAGAUUUGUGGGUUCCAGAUUUAAAAGGUAAUUUGCUUUGCUUUCCAAUUAUGCAAUCUUCACAAAAACUUAGCUUUUCAAUAUUAUCUUUUCCAAAACAUUCCAUUUUAUUUAAAAUUGUCAGUCCCUUUUCAGACAUAUGGCUAAGUCUUCUACGCCAUAUUAAUGACUUAUUAAAAUGAUGAAUUAAUAGCUGGAGAGCCAUAACCUACUAAAGGUUCAGCUUGAAGAGUAUAGAUGACAUUUAUUUUAGGAGAUGUCAUAUGACUUCUUUAUUGUUAAGGAUCAAUCUUAUAAGGCUUUUAUGAAUCCUUAUGUCAUACUUCUCGUCCAAUUCUCCUAAAGAAAUCAAGUUUCUUUUUAGUUCAGGUACAUAUCUGACUUUAUCAAGUUCAAGUAUAUAGUUGUUGCUUAACAGAAGAUUCAAUUUCCCAGUUCCCCUUAUCUGACAACUCAUGUCAUUUCCCAUUUGAACUUGUCCUCCACUAAGAUCAACAAGUUCAAUAAACCAAUUUUUAAUGAGGCACAUAUGGAAAGUGCAACCAGAAUCUAGCACCCAUUCUUUUGGGUCUCCUUGAAUAUCAGGUCCAUUCUUACAAACAACAGAUUUAGAACCAUCAGUAUUUUGUAAGGGUAGGCAUGGGUUGGGUUGGGUCGAUUUUUUGCCCUGACCUAAUAAUGUCGAUUUGAUUAAAAUACAACCCAACCCAACCCAACCCAACCCAUGUAUGAAUUGAAACCCAACCCAACCCACCCCAACCAAAUGUCGGUCGGGUUGGGUUGGGUUGGUGGUUCGGGAAAAGAAAUCAUGAUCUAAACACGCAGGAGACAUUUUAGAAGUAGCAGGAGUUGGAGAUUGGGUCUUCUUUGCUGUAAAUUCUGAAGGCUUCCAUUCAUUUAUAGGUUCAACACCCCAAUUUAGUCAUUGAGGGCGCCUGCAAGUACGUAUGUAGGGAUAUUUCUUAGGCUUGGUUUGCAUCAUGUGUUAUAUUCAUAGAGACGUGCUUUCAUUUUAUUAUAAAGCCAUGUCUAUAUUUUUUGUCAUAUUUUUGACUUGUGGAUAUUGAUCGUGGAAAUAGUUUUUCAGUGUUAACUUUCACUAACUAAUAUAAAGUUAUUAUGUUUUUAUUAGUUUUUCAACCACUCACAAAAUAAACGGGUAAAUAAGACACCCUGCAAUCAAGAGCAAAAGCCAAAGAUCCCAAACAAAAACAAAUCAACAGUAAGUGUACCAAGCUUAACAACAUUGAGCUUGAGAAAACUGUAACUUAUCAAAAUAAAAGACCAAGAAACAUACCUGUUCAGUGUUCACCAUGACUCUAUUCAAUCCAAAUUAUUCUCACCAAUGUGAUUGAAGAUGUAUGAUAAAUUGUCAUAAAGUUUGUGCCCAAAACAACAGUAGUAAGGGACCAGCUGCUCGUAGAAACAGCGAAUAUUUCCUUGAUUUCCUUGUGACCAGAACCCCAAAAAAAAAAGCAUGUACAAUUUAAAGAGGUGUAAAAACAGAAAAACACAUAAUCAUAGCCAUCUCAACUCAUAUCAGGUGCUUCAUUAUUAGGAUAAUAGAGUCCAUAACAAAAGGAGGCCACGAGAACUUUAAAAAGAAAAGACGACCAUCAGUGAUUAGAACAUCAAAGGUCACUUAAAUUUAGAGAAAAAGAUAAAAGAACAAAUGAAGUAUAAAUGAACAAUACCCCCAAGGAAAAUAUUAAUGUACUAAAACGUGAAGAAGAAUAUAGAUUGCACUUUACUAACCCCAGCUUCCUACUAUGGACAAUCGACGACAGGCUGAUGUCGGUGAUUUGGUGAUACGGCACCGCUGCAAGUGGAGUGGGACUGUGGAUGUGGCUGCGUGAGAGAGAGAUGGAAGUUGUAGGGUUUGUGUUGUUUGUCUCGUGACGUUUGUUUUGCCUUUUGAAAGAAAUUUGAGAUUUUUUUUAAACUAGCGAGUUGGGUCGAGUCGGG
rnacentral:lncRNA from 1 species